AUUUCUGUCUCUGGGCCCUGGUUCUCGCCGCUGUGGAGUUACAGGCACGAAGAAGAUGACAUCUGUCUCUUCCACUUUAAAGCUCUACUUCGUGAUUGGAGAACCUAAUUAGACUCUGAACUCGGCCGCUCCUGUAGAUGAGAAAACUGCUGCCCAGAGGAGAGAUCUGGCUUUCCUGAGGUUACAUAGCUGGCACCUGGUUGAGCUGGACUUUGAACACAGGGGUCUGGAUCCAAGUCCCAGGCCCUGGGCCACCCUGAGGUUAAAUUUUUCAAGUGCUUUCAACAACUGUUCUCCAUACUCCAUGCUUUCUGGGGCU